GCGGCGCUGGGGCACUUUCGGCGGUGCAGCCGCUGGCUCGGGAGUCGCCGGCCGCGGUUGCCCGUUCGCCGGCCACCAGUUGCGCGCGCGGCGCGGGGCAGGCCGGCACGUGCAGCGCCGGCGGCCUCAGCCCUGGCCGGGAGCGGUCCCAAACACAGCCCAGCCCCCGACCCCGCACACGCGGGUGUCUCCGCGAAAAGGACUUCAGAGCCGGCGUACAAAAACGCUCAAAGGAACAGGAAGGUGUACAACCAGGUAUCUUUUGGGAAUCAAAAGUAGGAAGCCAAAACAGCCAAGUUAUAAACUGUCUACAUCCUAACAUAAGAGAAGAUAACCAGUGGAUAUGUAUUUUGGUAUCAGAAGUGGUAAGGAAUACGCUCAGGUAUUAAAAGUGCACGUCUUGAAGUUCAGCAUUUCCCUGCAAUGCUUGCAAACCACCAGGAUGGAGUUGCCUUCUCUCCUUGCUGUCCUGGGGGCAGAGCCGUUGAGACAUAAGGUAGAGUGACUUACCUCAAACUCCCAAGUGAGUCAGCAGCAGAAGAGAGGUUAUGACUCAUACUCAACGUACAAGCUUCUGUUUUUCCCUCUGAAACUGGAAACACAGCAGAGAACAGUGGGAGGAGCAAUAAUUUAGCCAACCACACCCUGCCUUCAAAAUAUUUCAUUGGAUAAUAAAUAUCUAUGAAGAGCAGAUACCAUCCAUUGGUGUUUGGCUUUUUUUUUUUUUUCCCUUUAUCUAUGAAACCCACAUGGUAAACUCCAUGGCAUUCAGUUUAUCUUCUUAAAAAAGAUGAUGGGAUGAGCUCACCCUGCUAAGGUUCAACUGUGUAGCAGCCUACAUAGAGUUUAAAGCAACUAAAUGAGUGGAAGAGGAUCUUCAGGUGAUACUGCCGUAUUGCAACUGAUGCAGUGGGAGACAACCCUAACCCAAAUCAGAUUUAAAAAAAGACCAAAAGCAGAAAAACGUGCAGUAUAUGCAUAAAAGCACAGUAAAAGAGAAUUUGAAGGUCACAACCAUGCCUGGUUUGGAGUACUUUUGGUUCCUGGUGUUCACGGCCUAGUUUGUAUACUACCCUUCUCCAAAACGCACUGUUUAAAGCCAAGUAAAUUGUCUGGUGCCAGAAGAGAGCUGGAUGCAGCUGUUUGGUAGAUGGGGAUUUGUGCUCUGCGAAACACAACCGCUGAAGCGCUGUGGGAGUGAUGGUGCCUUAGACACCAGCUGGUCCUAACAGGGCAACCAAACCCUUCUAGUCCAAGGAAAUCCACCUCCACAGAGUGCAAACAUAGAAACAAAUAAACAGUAGGAUGCCUAAAAUGAAAUUAGAGACAUGCAGAUCUAACUCCUUCCAUAACCAGAAAUGGAAUAAAGCAAUGCAUUCUCUUUUAGAGAAGUAAUUGGUUCCAGUAAUGCUGUACAUUACCCUGGGAGCGAGAAGAAGCCUUUCUACCGUAAAUGAUUCUUCUCCAGGUUUGAUGUUUUUCUGCCACAGGAUGGACUCCACAGUGGGGAGAAAGGGAAUAUGAGGCUUAAUGACUGCUUUUUGUUGUCUCGAGCUGGCAAUUGAGAAUUAAACUCAGUGUAAACGUGAAUUUAAAUAUAAUAUGAAAAGGUAUUUUUCUCCAUUUUAUUCUUCUGUUUAUAGUAAGUAUAGUAGAAUAAGAAACAUUUUGUUUCUGUAAAAUAUUUUCUAACACAGAUGGCAAAGAUUUCAUUAGAAUUGGUAAAUUAUGAAGUAAAACAAAAUAAAAUAUUCUGAGAUGAAUUAUUUCUGAUGUAACUCCAAUGAAGUCCAAGGAGUAGCAUGAAAAUGAAUUCAGCUCAACAAGCUUUAUCCUACUUCGGGCAAAACACAUCACAUGGCAUGGUUUAUGGUAGUUUCAGCUAUUCCUUAGCAAGCUCAAGCAAGUAGCUCACUCAAGCAGGUAAUAGAUCUCACAUGAAAAAGUAACAGAUCAUAUAUUGAGGCAUGCAAAAUGACGUUUCAUCACAACAAAAUGUCAACUAGUAAUUCAUUACAUUCCUACAAAUAAGUCAAGAAGAAAUAUUCAGCAUUCAAUUACAACUAGGUGUGCUGGAUUGCAACAGUUAAUUUAUUUGCAUUGAUUCCCUUCAGUUAUUCAGCUUUUCAGUUUGCAGUUAAUAUUGCACCCUAAUAAAAGAACUUAUUUAGGUCUUCAGAAGAAGAAACUUGAAAUUCAGCAAAAGUGAAUGUUUCAAACUCUGUACUGAUUUUUUAGUGCAUUCAAGAUUAUCUGGGACUUGUCUUGACAUUAAAGGUCAUCUCAACAAAGACAAACAAUGGACAACAGCAUCUUUUGAGUUAUCGGGACAGGAAGCUUAAGGGAAUAUUGGUUAAAAAGUGUGGCUGACUGAACACAGAAUAUUGUAACAUGAACUAUAUAGAGACCUAGUACAUUCAGAAUACCUUAAUGAAUUUACCCGAACCACUUACUCAUAAUAAUCCUAGAGGCUGUAUUUAUAGCAAGCAAAAAAAGCCUAGGCCAAAUGUUUCUGUUGCUUUUCAGGUUAACAAGGCGUCUUUUGCUUCUGCAUCCCGAGCAGUAUCUGGAUCUGGCAUUAUUCUACAUUAGUAUUUUAUGCACAUUCCUUACAAUUUUGAGUAUUCAUGAAAUUUACAUUACCUUUUCUCAGCAGUAUCAAACUAAUUGCCAAUAUCAAAUGAUGUUUCCAAAAAAUCCGUAUCUAGAAUUCUACAAAAAUAAAAAUAUUUCCAUAUGAAAAGAAUGCCUAGUCGAUCCUUCUGAAAAAUAUUUAAAUGAAAAAUACUAAAAGCAUAUUUUACAAAUAGAAUAAAUAAUGCAGUGGAACAGAAGACUGUAUGCUAUAUUGCUAUGUGAGACCGUGGUAUCACAUCCAGAGAUCUAUAAAAAUUUAGUUAAUUUUGCCCAUCUUCAAUAUGAGUUUAUAAUACACAGUAGAGUUGCUCCUUUUGAGCUGCCAGAGGGUACACUAUGAAUGAGUAUUAAAAAUAUUGCACAUUCUGUGUUAUAUUUUCAUAAUAUAGAAUGCUCUCACUUACAUACUGUGUAUUAUUCCUAGUACCUAUUCAGAGCAUAUAUUGUAACAGCACCUUUGGAGCCACUAACAUGUACGCUGUGAAUGUGUAUUAACCACAGAAUGCAUUUGCAUAUUAUGAGUCCAUAACACUGAAUGCACAAUCAAAUCUUUGAUAAAAAGUCAUUGCUAUACAUACAAGCAGAAGUUAUUUUCUCAUGCUUCUCACUCACAACUGUGCCAUAUUGCACAGUCAUUUCUCACCCAUAUCUUUACAACUCACAAAGAUAAAAAAAUCCAGUACUGCAACAAUUCUAUGAAGUAUAGUUUUCUUGAAGUAAAAUUUUUCAUAAGGGUUUUUUUUCCUCUCUUUGUUCUAUAUGAAAACUAUAAUCCAUAUUUUGCUUAAUUGCAUGAAUAUUGGCAAUUUUUCAUUUUUAUCAUCUUGGCAUCCAUAUAACUGACUGGACUGAGACCUUAGCAUCAAAUGCUCAUUUGGAUAUUACAUGUGAAAUACAGGUCAUAGGAAAAACAAACAUAAAAAUAAACCUCAGUCAGUUCUACUAGUAUUUUUAACUAUCACAAUUUGGUUUGUUUGUAUAUUUGCCUAUAAUAACAGGGGGGUUUGCCAGCCAGUAGUGUACAAUUCCCUAGAUUGGGCAGAACUAAAAUUACAAAACAACAUUACGGAAUAAAAUUACAAAAUAACUUCAUUACAAAACUUCAUUCGGAUCAAAGAGUUAUUGUUUUUCUACAUUGACAGAUGAGCAUCCUGGCAACUCCUGCAAGUGAAAAUGGAAAAAGGCACCGUUGCUUGUCUAAAACAGGAAAUUAAAGGAAAAUAGUCUUCUGCCUCCGUUUCUUGCUUUGUGAAAUGAAAGUAAUGCAAAUCUUGGGUCCAGCCUGAUAUCAUUCUGUGUCUAUGCUCUUGGGGUGGGGAUUUUCCCCAGGAAGCAAAAGAAAAGCUAAGGCCAACUUGGCUUUUGCUCAGUUGCCUUCCUCAUCCUUUAGACUUGCUGGAAAAGCUAGAAAGACACAAGAGGAAAUUAUCUAUACCAUUUCAAGGACUGCAUAGUGAUCAUACUGGCCAAGAAGGCCGACAGCAUCCUGGCCUGUAUCAGGAAUAGUGUGGUGAGCUGGACUAGGGAAUUGAUCAUCCCCCUGUACUCGGCACUGGUGAGGCCCCACCUCGAGUACUGCGUUCAGUUUUGGGCCCCUCGCUACAAGAGGGACAUUGAGGUGUUGGAGCGUGUCCAGAGAAGGGCUACAAAGCUGGUGAGGGGUCUGGAGGACAAACCUUAUGAAGAACGACUGAGGGAGCUGGGGUUGUUUAGCCUGGAGAAGAGGAGGCUGAGGGGAGACCUCAUCACCCUCUACAACUACCUGAAAGGAGGUUGUAGAGAGAUGGGGGCUGACCUCUUCUCCCUGGUGACAAGUGAUAGGACAAGAGGGAACGGGUUCAAGUUACGUCAGGGGAGGUUUAGAUUGGAUAUUAGGAAGCAUUUUUUCACUGAAAGGGUUAUUAAACAUUGGAAUAGGCUGCCCAGGGAGGUGGUGGAUUCACCAUCCCUGGAGGUGUUUAAAAAAAGGGUAGAUGGGGCACUUAGGGACAUGGUUUAGAAGUGGCUUUUGUCAGGGUAGGUUAAAGGUUGGACUUGAUGAUCUUAAAGGUCCAUUCCAACCUCAGCAAUUCUAUGAUUCUAUGAUUCUAUUAAUUUAAAAAUACUUUCAGUUGUAUUAUUUUAAUAAGCAGCACUGAAAGGUACUUUAUAGGUCUGAUAUCACCACAGAGACAUUGACUCCAAAAAGUACACAGGCAAGUAUUCUGGCAAUUAAUGGCAAGUAUAAACUACCAACUGUACAAGAGCCAAUAUUUAUUCAUGAAUAUAAUAAUACCUCAGCUAAAAUAUUAAUCAAAUCAGAACACAAAAAUUAGGUUCAAAAGAUCCCCCAUAUAGCAGCUACUUUUGGAUCACAUACAGGGGGAUGCAGUCCUGCCCACUGAAUGAUGGACACGAUUAUAUUCCCCAUUACGGUGUGUAAUAGCUGCCACAUAUCAGAGAGAGAGAGUGUGUGUGUGUGUAUGUGGACAUAAAGUCACUGGAUUUUUAGUGUUUUCCCUUUAAAAGAAAUGGUUACAUUUUAGUUUAGUGAGGAAGCCUAUUACACUGUACAAAUUCCUUCGUUUCUCUUUUCCUUUUUCUGUGGUUUAUUUCAAACAUUUUAAAGUAUUAAUGAAAAUGCUGUAAAAGUCAUAAUGUUAAAGUAUAAAUUUAUUUAACAUUGUUUUACAUUAUAAGAGCUAUAAACAGGCUCCUGUAAACUUAUACAAGCAGUUAUUUUGAGGUCUGAGCUGUUUUCUUUUAUUUUAUGAUUGUAAAUAAAAGUAAGAUAGUUUGUACUCAAUUAUUUUAUGACUAUAACAUACUAGCUGCUCUCUGUCAGAGAUUGUUUCAAGAUAUAAAAGCCAGCUGUCCGUAAAUCAAUCACCUUGAUCAUCAAUGAUCAACAAAAUCAAGUUAAACACUUUUCUGUGAUUUUCCAAAGUGAGCUUUACAUCUACUCAGUAAACUAUUUGGA